UAAACCAAGCUGGUAAAAUUUCAAAACAGACUUCGCGCGGUCAAUUGCAGACAGCCCCCGCCCCUCCUCCCCUGAUUAUUCUCCGAACAAUGCUCCUCCAAUUUUGCAACCCUGGCAGCUAUCGUCAAGGCCUGAGCUGGGCGACUGAUGGUGACGAAAUCUAUAUCAGUCUCUGUUGAGCCACAAGUUUAAUGACAUUUUCCAUGUCAAAUAUCCGUCUUAUCCAGCUGCUUCAUGGUAUUUCCAGUCUAAAUAUAUAGCUGAAAUUUGAGACAUUUGGGAGUGCUGAAGCCUGCAAUUUCCUAUAUAUAUGCUUCCCUAUCUCAUAUGUUAUCAAGUUCAACUUUUUUGCAGAAGGACUUUGUUUGAGCAAACAAAGACUUUUUUGCAGAAGGAUCUAACGAGUCUGCUAAUCUUAAGGAGAUAGAACUUCUGGCUGCCUCCAUCUUAAUUCAUCUUCUUGACCAGGUAUGUAGCUACACCAAAGGUAUCCUGGUAGUAAAAAUUCCAACAAGGAUUUAUUCUGAAAGAAAAACAUUUGUCAAUCGUUUUGUACUUCUCCUUCACUUUCUGUGAACAGAGAAUGACUCAUUAAAUAUUAGCAUCUAAAUUCUUUGUCCUGCGGUUGGGAAGUAAUUACAACGAGUUUUUACAUUAAAAUGCAUCUCACAUUUGCUGUUGACGUCCUCCAUUAUCUUUCUUGUCUUAGCGCUUUCAACUAUGUACGUAAUUACUACAACCUUUUUAAUUGAAACAGUUGAUGCAUUUGGGUAGUGGAUGACCACGAUUUUGCGUUGUGCUUCUCUUUCGUCAUAGCAUACACCAUUUUUAACUCAUGACCAAGUACAUACAUUUCUAGUAGGACUGCUGUAGCUAGCAUGCCAUUUUGCUCUUUUCCAUUUCAUAACUCUGAGCUGCUGGCACUUAACUUAUAUUUUCAUCCGACUAAUUAGUUCAAUGUUAAGGAAUGAACUUAAUACAAGGUUCAUUUUAACGGCUUGUGCUGCAAAAAUACUGUUCUUAUUAGCAUGCAUAUUCAUAUUUGCAGCAUGAUUGGUCUCAAAGUAGAGCAUUUAAACUGUGAAGUAGUAGUCGGCUUAAAUUACCCUAUAUAAGAACCCUGUAGCUCAAUACUUGUUCUUUCUUCACCACAUGUUGCCUGAUUUCCUCUCCUUGCUCAAAGUCGAUUGAUAUUUUCUUGGAUCUUCCAACCACACUACUGAUAUCACUCCACCUGGUUUGAAAUGAUAGGGAUUUCCCUUUAGAACAACCUUAACAUAUUGCAGAUUAGAGGCAGUUUUUAUGUGCUCCUGCAUCAACUGGAAAAAAGAACUUAACAAUAAUAUUUCAAAUUAAGAUUAGAGUCUGGUCGUCAAAUGCUGAAAACAAAUGCAACUUGUGUGAUUAACAACACAAAGAUGCUACGUAGCUUGUGUGGUUGCAAAAAUUUUCUUUCAAGGUCAGUUUUCUUUUAAAACAGAAUCUCAGCCAAACAUCAAAUUUUCAUUUAAAGUAUUCCAAUGGUUAUAGAAAAACAAAAGUACAUUGAUUAUCAAACUGUUUUGUCAAAGGUAUUGACUUACACACUGCAUAGUUCUUAACCAAAAGGAUAAACUUUGUGUAUUUGAAAAUUUAUGGAACAAGGAUCAAACAGUUAAAAACAAAAAAAACUUCGUCAAUGGGGAUGAGAAGAGAAAGCUGUUACAACAUUUGCAGAAGCUAUAUCAAGUUGACAACAUAAAUGAUCUAAGAAGAAAAAAGAUCGCAAUAGAGAAACCCUUGAUAUGUAUAUUAAGCUGCAAUACGGAAAAAUACAUUCAAUAUUAGGCCGAGUCAGUCCCAAAGAGCACUCGACCAUAGUCCACCUAAAAGUACUAAUUAUUUGUACUUGCAUCAUGUCCAAUAUCUAAUAACUACAUCCCUAGUAUUAAUCAAUACAAAUUAAGGACAGCCGAAGUCCCAUAGCUAAUGCAAUACCAUUAUAGUUUUAUUAUGUACAGCAACCCGGAUUGAAGGCUUCUUUUCUUAUAAGUGUACUUCCUAUAAUUAGUAUGUAUGCUCUCUAAUUGCUAGAAUAUGCUUUCACUUCCACAGAUCAAUUUGACAACUCGAAGUGGAUGUGGAGGCAUAUUCCUGAUGAGCAAUUUCUGGCCUUUUGGAUUCACUGG
rnacentral:lncRNA from 1 species